UGGGGAAUAUUGCACAAUGGACGGAAGUCUGAUGCAGCGACGCCGCGUGGGGGAUGAAGGCUUUCGGGUUGUAAACUCCUUUCAGUACAGAAGAAGCUUUAUUGUGACGGUAUGUGCAGAAGAAGCGCCGGCUAACUACGUGCCAGCAGCCGCGGUAAUACGUAGGGCGCGAGCGUUGUCCGGAAUUAUUGGGCGUAAAGAGCUCGUAGGCGGUUUGUCGCGUCUGCUGUGAAAGACCGGGGCUUAACUCCGGGGCUGCAGUGGGUACGGGCAGGCUGGAGUGCGGUAGGGGUAACAGGAAUUCCUGGUGUAGCGGUGGAAUGCGCAGAUAUCAGGAGGAACACCGAUGGCGAAGGCAGGUUACUGGGCCGUUACUGACGCUGAGGAGCGAAAGCAUGGGGAGCGAACAGG
rnacentral:rRNA from 1 species